rnacentral:rRNA from 1 species
GAUGAACGCUAGCUACAGGCUUAACACAUGCAAGUCGAGGGGAAACGACAUCGAAAGCUUGCUUUUGGUGGGCGUCGACCGGCGCACGGGUGAGUAACGCGUAUCCAACCUGCCCACCACUUGGGGAUAACCUUGCGAAAGUAAGACUAAUACCCAAUGAUAUCCCACGAAGGCAUCGGAAUGGGAUUAAAGAUUUAUCGGUGAUGGAUGGGGAUGCGUCUGAUUAGCUUGUUGGCGGGGUAACGGCCCACCAAGGCAACGAUCAGUAGGGGUUCUGAGAGGAAGGUCCCCCACAUUGGAACUGAGACACGGUCCAAACUCCUACGGGAGGCAGCAGUGAGGAAUAUUGGUCAAUGGGCGGAAGCCUGAACCAGCCAAGUAGCGUGCAGGAUGACGGCCCUAUGGGUUGUAAACUGCUUUUAUAAGGGAAUAAAGUUAGUCUCGUGAGACUUUUUGCAUGUACCUUAUGAAUAAGGACCGGCUAAUUCCGUG